ACGGGUGAGUAACACGUAGGCAACCUGCCCACCAGACGGGGAUAACGACCGGAAACGGUAGCUAAUACCGGAUAGAUCCUGUCGCCGCAUGGCGAGAGGAAGAAAGGCGGCUUGGGCUGUCGUUGGUGGAAGGGCCUGCGGCGCAUUAGCUAGUUGGUAGAGUAACGGCCUACCAAGGCGACGAUGCGUAGCCGACCUGAGAGGGUGAACGGCCACACUGGGACUGAGACACGGCCCAGACUCCUACGGGAGGCAGCAGUAGGGAAUCUUCCGCAAUGGGCGCAAGCCUGACGGAGCAACGCCGCGUGAGUGAAGAAGGUUUUCGGAUCGUAAAGCUCUGUUGCCAGGGAAGAACGACUUUUGGAGGAACUGCCAGAAGAGUGACGGUACCUGAGAAGAAAGCCCCGGCUAACUACGUGCCAGCAGCCGCGGUAAUACGUAGGGGGCAAGCGUUGUCCGGAAUUAUUGGGCGUAAAGCGCGCGCAGGCGGCCGUUUAAGUCCGGUGUAUAAGCCCGGGGCUCAACCCCGGAUCGCACGGGAAACUGGAGGGCUUGAGAACAGCAGAGGAGAGUGG
rnacentral:rRNA from 1 species